UAGGGAAUCUUCCACAAUGGGCGAAGCCUGAUGGAGCAACGCCGCGUGUGUGAUGAAGGCUUUCGGUCGUAAAGCACUGUUGUAUGGGAAGAACAGCUAGAAUAGGAAAUGAUUUUAGUUUGACGGUACCAUACCAGAAAGGGACGGCUAAAUACGUGCCAG
rnacentral:rRNA from 1 species